UCUACCACAUGGAAUGUUGCUUCUGUGGGAAAUGCACUAGGUUCUAAUUUGGGGACAAUGUGUUCCUGAAAUCCUAAAUAUAGGGAUAAUGCAUGGUGAAAAGGCUCCGGAUUUUCAUCAGAGCUACAGGUCAUCCGAGACAGAUUAAGGAAGCUCUUGCGGGCUGCUCUGUGAAUCGACAACCAAAAGAUCUUUGUGUGCACGUUCUAGAGCUCUAGAGCCAGAGCCAGGGGUCUGUGUUGAUCGUGGCCAGCGUGAAUCGUGACGGGGUGAUGCUUGCUCUGGAGAAGUAACCACAUCAAAACAAGAAUGGGAGGACAGAAGGGUCAACCAGAGAGAAAAGACAAGUAGAAUAUUGUGAUUCUUCCUGGCUUUGAAAAGCAGACCACAGAGCUUUGCUGGAUUGCAGGAGCAAGCCUGGAAAUUGUGUGCUCACUCCAUGCAAGGUGCCACUGGAAGGACUGGAUUCCAGUAUCAAAUCAUUUCCCGCUGCCCCUGACGAUGAUGUUGGCUGAACUGGAGGGCAUUCUGCUAAGUGAAAUGAGCCAGGCAGAGCAAGACAAACACUGCAUGGUGUCACUCAUAUGCGGAAUCUAAAGAAAAAAAGCUCUGAUUUUAUCAUCUGCAAACUAGGAACGUGGAGAGUAUUCAGUGACAAACAUCAAUUCCUUAAUCUAAUGCCUGGCAAUGUGAAUGCUAAGUAUCCAGUGGAGUUCUCCAAGUUUCUCAGAUGGGAAAGUCACAAGAUGGAAGAAUAUGGAGCAUCUGAGUCACCAUGAAGAAGGCCACUCUCUGACCACUCAAUAGGACUACAAUAUAACCAACAAAUAAACCUUUACCAUG